AUUGAACGCUGGCGGCAUGCUUUACACAUGCAAGUCGAACGGCAGCACGGGUGCUUGCACCUGGUGGCGAGUGGCGAACGGGUGAGUAAUGCAUCGGAACGUGCCCAUGAGUGGGGGAUAGCCCGGCGAAAGCCGGAUUAAUACCGCAUACGCCCUUAGGGGGAAAGCGGGGGAUCUUCGGACCUCGCGCUAUUGGAGCGGCCGAUGUCGGAUUAGCUAGUAGGUGGGGUAAAGGCUCACCUAGGCGACGAUCCGUAGCUGGUCUGAGAGGAUGAUCAGCCACACUGGGACUGAGACACGGCCCAGACUCCUACGGGAGGCAGCAGUGGGGAAUUUUGGACAAUGGGCGAAAGCCUGAUCCAGCCAUGCCGCGUGAGUGAAGAAGGCCUCGGGUUGUAAGACGUCUUUCUAGGUGUAGAAGAAA
rnacentral:rRNA from 1 species